CAGUCGCCACGGGAAUACGUAGGGUGCAAGCGUUAAUCGGAAUUACUGGGCGUAAAGCGUGCGCAGGCGGUUCGUUAAGACAGAUGUGAAAUCCCCGGGCUUAACCUGGGAACUGCAUUUGUGACUGGCGGGCUAGAGUAUGGCAGAGGGGGGUAGAAUUCCACGUGUAGCAGUGAAAUGCGUAGGGAUGUGGAGGAAUACCGAUGGCGAAGGCAGCCCCCUGGGCCAAUACUGACGCUCAUGCACGAAAGCGUGGGGAGCAAACAGGAUUAGAUACCCCCGUAGUCCCUGUCUCUUCUAC
rnacentral:rRNA from 1 species